GGAGUGGUACCCAAGUCGGUGAAGGGGACGGUUUGCUAAACCGUUAGGCUCGCAAGGGCGCGGAGGUUCGAGUCCUCUCCACUCCG
rnacentral:tRNA from 1 species